rnacentral:sRNA from 1 species
CUGCACAGCUGGUCAACCAGCUCCUUGCGAACGUUCCGGAGAGCGCUCGCAAGGAUACUGACGAAAUCAGUCUUCUCCGGGCCAUCCAGGACCUGGCCAAUCAACGCAUCCAGGCGUUGACCUCGGACUCCGCUACCACUAACUAGUACCGCUUCUCUCGCUCGAGAGGGUCCUCGGGCCCCCUCUUUGCUUUAGAAGGUUGGGAAUGUUGGCGUGUUAGCAUCUUCUUACUAGCUAGUACUCGUUCUCUAUUCUACGGUACGCCCGCCACGAGGUGCACGGACGGGAUCCUCGGAUCAUUUGUCCUGAGAACUGAGGAAAGAUGGUGGAGGUGAGUUGUUUGCUACUGCUCAGCUAGUACUCGCUCUCUAUUUUUACAGGGUGCACCCGCCACGAGGUGUACGGACGGGGGUCUUCGGGUCCUUCUGUCCCGAGAGCUGAGGAAAGUUGGGUAGUUUACAUCGAGUGAUACGGUCUCGAUACCCCAUGUGUUGAGGUUACAUGUCUUGAAGAGCGUAGCGCGCCACCCUUGAUUGACCACCCAAGGGCCAUGUGUUUUUGUCUUGAUAUAUGACAGGAUAUAUCCAGAAACAUAUCCCUCCCAGAAUCUCGGUGUUGGUACCUCGCUGUAUUUUUUACCUUAAUUCGUUCCCGCGACUCGCAUCUUAGUCAAUGCCCUCGUGCUAGGCGCAGUUCGAAACAAGACCUUCUCGCUGCUCCGUACGGGUCCGGUAUACGCGGCUAUGAUUGGUAUUGGUGGUGCUGUUCGCUGUAAAGUUUUGACAGCCUUUUUUUACCCUUUUUGACAGGGGGAGGUUAAAAAAAGUUUCAAAUAUCUGUCUCAGCUACUACCUCGGAGCCCCGCCAAUGCCACUCUUACGACACAUCAAUGUUAUUUGUCUGGCACCCGUGAGGGAACGAUAGGCGGCGCAGCUUUCGAGGAUUUGAGAUUCUGUGUUUCCCGGGUCUCAUUAAAUGAUCUACCCGAAUUCAUGAAGAGAUUCCGAUGAUAUCAUACGCUGGCCGGCCCUCGCCUUUUUUUUUUUUUCCUUUUUCUUUCUUUUGUCGCCGCCGCGCUUUACGACUGAAUAUAUCUCAUGUUUUUACUUUAUUGUAUUUUCAUAAUUUUUUUUUUCAUUGCUCGCGUGGAGCUUAUUCCAUUGUAUAAACUAGAUUGAGCAGGGCAGAGCGAUUUGUUUUGUUUACUUUUGUUGUUUUCAAUCUCUUUUUUUUUUCUUUUUUUUUUACAUUUCAAUGCAUUGGGUCCGGAGUAAGAAAAGUCGUUUUGUCGACACUGGAGUUUUUUUUUAAUUCAUGCCCUUGUUUUAUUUACAAAAUCGCUGUUUACCUAUCCCGUGUGGUGUUUGUGGGAGGACCGGACUGGCCUCUUGGGGUUGAGGAGUUGUUUGGAAUUCUGUUCUUGUAAAGCCUGUGUGCCCUUGUUUCCAGCGGCGAGGAGCAUCUCUAAACAUGUUUUGGGUGGGGGGGUGGUUGGGAUGGUUUGAUUAAUACAUUGAUGCCUCCUGUUUCCCGCCUCCUCUUAGAUUCAUCCCCCACCCCCUAUUAUCGCGGUCUCGCUCAACGCUCUUUCAACCAUCCACGAGUCAGCGACUCGCCAGGUGGAGAUAGAUUGUAUCUUUUUUCUGAGGAACAUCAUCGUCUUCGUCAUGUAUACACGUUUUGUGUGACUCCGGAAAUGCUUUGCUAUUUCAUCUGGCCCCUGCUGCUGUUUCUGCUUCUACUUCUACUGUUUGCUUUCUUAUAUAU